UUGCAUAAAAAUAUAAAAAAAGCUGAAAUAUCAAGUGUUCAAUUUUCUUCUUCUAUUCAACUAAAACAACUGCAACAAGAAGCAGUAACAAUAACAUCAUUUUGAUACAACAAUUCAACAAAAUAAUGACUAAUUAAGCAUCUGCAACAGCAGCCACACAGCAUUACGAAUGAAAUACAACCAAUUUAAAAUUCUCAAGAAAAGAAAAUAGCAAAAAAUUGUAAUAUUUUUUAAAAUUUGUUGCACCAACUAAGACGACGCGACGUACGAGUCUAGAAAAGAAAUUUCCUUGAUGCAUUAACAAUAAAGGAUAGCCAAAGGCUUUAGAGAGACCGAGAGGGAAGAAAGAGCCAAUAAAAACGUGGAAAUUUUUGUAUUUUCUGAGCUGCUGGUGGUUAAAGGAAAAUAAGGAAAAUGUAAGACAUUCACAAAUACACGCAGAGAGACAGACAUCAACUAUUUUUCUAUCAAGUCCAACAACAAAACAUGGCUAAUGUGCAACAAGGGCAACAACUACUAUUACAACAGCAACACAAACAUCAUCAGCAGCAACAACAGCAAUCACAUUUACAAAAAACUGAAUAAUCUUUGUGAUUAGGACGUGUUGUACCCAAAACGCUCUAAUGAAGACGAUAUGGGCACAACAUGGCCUCAGCACAGCUUCUUUAUAAUAUCGAUACAAAACCAAAAAAACAAACAACUACUACUUUUACAAGAAAAACAAAAUCAAAUACUACAACAACAACACCAACAGCAGCGGCAGCAAAAACGAAAACAUCGAUUCAAUCAACUAUUGAACAUCAUUAUAAAGAAAAACUAUCAAUAUUUUGUAACAAAACGGAAGUUGAACGAAAACAAGAAGCACAGGAAAAUAUCAACGGAAAUAUUAGCAGCAGAAGCAGCCAGAGCUCUAACGCCAACAGGAAACAAUACACAGGCAACAACAGAAACAACAACAACUAUACAACAACAUUUCACAGCUCAACUAAAACAAACAAGAGAGAAAAAGUUGAAGCAAAAACUACAUUCUUAUACGCUAAAACGGAAAAUUCAUCACACGUUUCUAACA